rnacentral:other from 1 species
CGAGCCCUGCUGUGUUCGCGGUGAAGCUGCCAUUGUGAUGAGCCAACACCAUCACAAAGGGAGUCCGGGCUCUGCGGGCGUAGGGCAGGCUGUCCGCUGGCACGGACAGUAGCCCAGGGAGUCCGCAGGAGGGCACCCACCUGCCUGAGCACCGGGUUCAUCAACGGGUAGCCUCAGCGGCACGGCGGGGCUCUU